CUAGGAUUGUGAUCUGUUGAACCUCUCAUUCUGCCCGGCCUUGGCAUGGCCCCCAGGCUCCUCUGCUGGGCAGCCCUGUGUCUCCUGGGGGCAGAACUCAUGGCAGCUGGAAUCACCCAGUCCCCCAGACUAAAGAUUUCAGAAAAAGGACAGGUUGUGACUCUUUGGUGUGACCCUAUUUCUGGCCAUGUUACACUGUACUGGUACCGGCAGAGACCGGGACAAGGACCAGAGCUCCUGACAUACUUUCAGAAUGCGGCAACGGUAGAUGAAUCUCUGCUGCCUAAAGAACAAUUUUCUGCAGAGAGACCCAAGGGAGCAGACUCCACUCUGAAGAUCCUGCGUGCAGAGCUGGGGGACUCGGCUGUGUAUCUCUGUGCCAGCAGCUUAGCCACAGCAUCACAGAAACACUUCCCACCUGUGCACAAAAUUGUACAUUUCUCUCUCCCUACUCAGCCUACAGGCAACCCUAAAGAGAGGCUCCACCAUUUCCUUAUUGUCCAGGGGGAUUUAAAAAUUCCUUUUUGA